rnacentral:rRNA from 1 species
GAUGAACGCUGGCGGCGUGCCUAAUACAUGCCAGUCGAGCGAACGGACGAGAAGCUUGCUUCUCUGAUGUUAGCGGCGGACGGGUGAGUAACACGUGGAUAACCUACCUAUAAGACUGGGAUAACUUCGGGAAACCGGAGCUAAUACCGGACAAUAUUUUGAACCGCAUGGUUCAAAAGUGAAAGACGGUCUUGCUGUCACUUAUAGAUGGAUCCGCGCUGCAUUAGCUAGUUGGUAAGGUAACGGCUUACCAAGGCAACGAUGCAUAGCCGACCUGAGAGGGUGAUCGGCCACACUGGAACUGAGACACGGUCCAGACUCCUACGGGAGGCAGCAGUAGGGAAUCUUCCGCAAUGGGCGAAAGCCUGACGGAGCAACGCCGCGUGAGUGAUGAAGGUCUUCGGAUCGUAAAACUCUGUUAUUAGGGAAGAACAUAUGUGUAAGUAACUGUGCACAUCUUGACGGUACCUAAUCAGAAAGCCACGGCUAACUACGUG